rnacentral:tRNA from 1 species
UCCCAUGUAGCUCAGUCGGUAAAGAAUCUGCCUGCAGUGCAGGACACCUGGGUUCGAUCCCUGGGUUGGGAA